ACAGGUUCUUUAAAGCGCGCAGGGCGCGCCCACAGAGACAUACCACCUGAGUGGGCUUGUGGUGGCGGCGUGCUGCAGGUUCUGUGCCAAAUUGUUUGGCCACAUUUGCCAUUUCUGGUUGUUGGGAGUGCGUGUUGUCGGGCACGCAUCAUGGGCUCGGGGCUCUCUCCUUUGAGCCUGAGUUGUUGUGGGCUCUUUCCUCCUCCUCCUUCUGCUGUCUGCUGGUGCAUGCGCCUACACUGGCAGGCACAAGGAACCAUCGUGUGCAGAGUGGUGUUGUUUGAGUCGCCACCUCCUAAUUAAGGGGCCCUUGCUUCGUCCACAUUUCAUCAGUUGCCAACAGCUGUGUAUAUUGGUUUGCAGAGGGCGCCCUCUGCAGGUGCUGUUGGCGCACUACACGGGAUUGAUUUCACCUGCUGUGAUUGAUGUGGGUGGGUGGGGGGUUAUUCCUCCUCAGCUGAGUUUGAUGCAUGUUUGGUUGUGUUUUUUUUUUGUUUGGUUUGCUGUUAAUGCUUUGGUUUGCAGUGUUUUUUUUUUUGUAUUAAUUUGGUUUCUUUUGUCUGAGUUGGACCCUUGCUCACCCACAUUAAUUCGGUUGAAGCUGAAUAAUUUAACUCGGUUGAGUGCAAUAGUAUAUUGAUGGAAAGCUGAAUAAUUUAAUUCAGUUAAGCGCAAUAUACACUCAACAAAAAUAUAAACGCAACACUUUUUUGGUUUUGCUCCCAUUUGUAUGAGAUGAACUCAAAGAUCUAAACUUUUUCCACAUACACAAUAUCACCA